UACGUAGGGGGCAAGCGUUGUCCGGAAUCAUUGGGCGUAAAGCGCGUGUAGGCGGUUCGGUAAGUCCGCUGUGAAAGUCGGGGGCUCAACCCUCGGAUGCCGGUGGAUACUGUCGGGCUUGAGUACGGAAGAGGCGAGUGGAAUUCCUGGUGUAGCGGUGAAAUGCGCAGAUAUCAGGAAGAACACCAAUGGCGAAAGCAGCUCUCUGGGACGGUACUGACGCUGAGACGCGAAAGCGUGGGGAGCGAACAGG
rnacentral:rRNA from 1 species